rnacentral:rRNA from 1 species
CACUCUAAGGAGACUGCCGGCGACAAACCGGAGGAAGGUGGGGGAUGACGUCAAGUCAUCAUGGCCCUUACGGCCUGGGCUACACACGUGCUACAAUGGUCAGUACAAAGGGUUGCCAAGCCGCGAGGUGGAGCUAAUCCCAUAAAACCGAUCGUAGUCCGGAUCGCAGUCUGCAACUCGACUGCGUGAAGUCGGAAUCGCUAGUAAUCGUGAAUCAGAAUGUCACGGUCGAAUACGUUCCCGGGCCUU